rnacentral:rRNA from 1 species
UACGUAGGCAGCGAGCGUUGUCGCGAGUUACUGGACGUAAAGAGUGCGUAGGCGGUUUUCUAAGUUUGGUGUGAAAUCUCCCGGCUCAACUGGGAGGGUGCGCCGAAGACUGGAAGGCUUGAGUAUGGGAGAGGUAAGCGGAAUUCCUGGUGUAGCGGUGAAAUGCGUAGAUAUCAGGAGGAACACCUGCGGUGUAGACGGCUUACUGGACCAUAACUGACGCUGAGGCACGAAAGCGUGGGUAGCAAACAGG